CCAUAUUGUAUUACAACUUCCCUCUAAUUUAUUGUAGGUUGGAGUAAUAAUAAUAAUAAUGUUGAAUUAUGGGCCAGAUUAUUUAACCAUGGCCCGGUCUGGAUCAUGUUGAGAUCCAGACAAAUGCCACCUCUUUGAAAACAAAUCCAAAGCGUAGAUUAAAAAAUGAUCAACGGCCCACAACAACUAUAAGGUAGAAACCCUUCUUAUGUUCGUAUGCGGCUAUACCUAUUACCUACUUGUGUUGUUAUUCAUUGAUCUUCUUUCUUUUUUCUUUUUUCUUUUUUGAAACGAAUUCAUUGCUCUUCCUUUUUGUGGAACAAUUGACAAAAAUCAUGGCGGCGGAUAAACACGGAGUACUGGCCAAUAUAUUUCAAAACGUUUAUGAAGACCACCCAAUUUGUUUUCUCAAUUCAUCAUCCGAUCAGCCAAUUGGUCUACGGACUCUGCUUACUCUUGGCUACUGUAAUCGGAUUAUUGUUGGCGAUCCCGUGCCCAGGAAAGUCGUAUUUUCAGCCGAGUUGAAGUAUAGUCCUGAACGAGAUUGUCACUCAUUGAUAACUGAAAAAGGAAACUGCGUCUAGAUCGAAUUCUGCCAAUACUUGAUGAAAGACCAGCAUCUUAUCAUUACUUUAUGCUUUGUGUGAAAUUCGCUGCUAGAAUUUUAUAAUGAAGAGAAUGGUAGUAUUAUUAGUCCAGAAUAUCAGAUUGUAGCAGCAUUGCCAUAUAGUAAUACCGAUGGAAUGGUUGAUGGUGAAAGGCAUUCAAUUUACCAUGCUAACUUCUUAGCUGGGAGGGUUAAAAAUAAGACCUCUCCUUAUCCUGAGAUACAACUCUUCUUUGUUGAGCUCUGGGGUGACAAGAUAAUCAAUGCUGAUGAUCGCGGGGAUGCUGUUCGUCGCUGCCAGAUAUUAAAACCUUGUUUAUUGAAUACCGGUAUAGGUAAUGGUGGUGUUACAACAUAUGCUAAGGGGGGAAUCUUCCAUCCUCUGGAAGUGCCUUGUUCUACAUGCCAUCCUAUUAUGUAUCCCUGGAUGGAAUCUUCUGCUCGUAGUCCUAUUUAAUAGUUGCACCAUUAGCCUAAUAUAUCCUAUCUUUUACUUUCUCUUUUGUAAGUAUGUCUUAGCAAACUGUCUCUAUCUGCUUAUUUGAACCUCUUUUUCCUAUUCAAUUCAUAUUACUAUA